rnacentral:rRNA from 1 species
GAUGAACGCUGGCGGCGUGCCUAAUACAUGCAAGUCGAGCGAACGGACGAGAAGCUUGCUUCUCUGAUGUUAGCGGCGGACGGGUGAGUAACACGUGGAUAACCUACCUAUAAGACUGGGAUAACUUCGGGAAACCGGAGCUAAUACCGGAUGAUCUUUUGAACCGCAUGGUUCAAAAGUGAAAGACGGUCUUGCUGUCACUUAUAGAUGGAUCCGCGCUGCAUUAGCUAGUUGGUAAGGUAACGGCUUACCAAGGCAACGAUGCAUAGCCGACCUGAGAGGGUGAUCGGCCACACUGGAACUGAGACACGGUACAGAGACCUACGGGAGGCAGAAGUAGGGAAUCUUCCGAGAAGGGCGAAAGCCUGACGGAGCAACGCAGCGUGAGUGAAGAAGGUCUUCGGAUCGUAAAACGCUGUUAUUAGGGAAGAACAUAUGUGUAAGUAACUGUGCACAUCUUGACGGUACCUAAUCAGAAAGCCACGGCUAACUACGU